CACAUCCUGGGGCUGUAGUAGGUCCCAAGGGUUGGGCUGUUCGCCCAUUAAAGUGGUACGCGAGCUGGGUUCAGAACGUCGUGAGACAGUUCGGUCCCUAUCCGUCGCAGGCGUAGGAAAUUUGAGAAGACCUGUCCUUAGUACGAGAGGACCGGGAUGGACGUACCUCUGGUGUACCAGUUGUUCUGCCAAGGGCAUGGCUGGGUAGCUAUGUACGGAAUGGAUAAGCGCUGAAAGCAUCUAAGCGCGAAGCCAACUUCAAGAUAAGAUUUCCCACCGCAAGGGUAAGACCCCAGAAAGACUAUCUGGUUGAUAGGUCGAAGGUGUAAGUGCAGCAAUGUAUUUAGCUUAUCGAUACUAAUAGGUCGAGGACUUGACCAAU
rnacentral:rRNA from 1 species